GAUAAGAGCCCACUUUGUAGGAAUCCUGACAGCAGGCACUCAUGGAAUCCCAGAAGCCCACAAGACGCUGGGGAGAGUUUCUGAUUCCAUUAGCCAUUCUGACAUCGAUAUGUGUCCCAGGUAUGGAAGCUAUGAAAUGCGGCGGGAAAAUAUGUGGACAUGGGACAUCAUGUGCGCAGGGUGUUUUUUGUCAUUGUGAACCAGGAUAUGCUGGUUUAAGGCGUGUACCUGGAAGUAAUGUGCCAUUUUGUUCAAAGAUCUGCAAGCUUAAAAAUCAAAAGUGUCCCGGCAAAACUACGUGUAAGCAGGUAAUCCUGUUCUGGAGGAGCAAACCAUUCCUAUCAUUUGAACAGUUGUGAGAGUGUUCACCUAAAGAGAGGUCGCCAUCUACAGGAGAAUGUGCAGAUUUUAUAGCUGACGGAUGUAGAGGGCGUUGUGGAUACAGGGCGACAUGUGUACAAGGUGUUUGUGGUUGUACUGAAGACUCAGAUAUCCUGAUAUCCCCUCGAGGAAGUUCGCUUCAGUUUUGUCUUCAAACAUGUGAUACUCGAAGGGAAUUGUGUCCUGUCAACACCACAUGUGAAAAGGUCGGUAUAAGAAAUGUGUGUCUUUCGUCAGCUGGAGCACACAGGUCUGCUAAAGGACAGUGUCUAGAUAUUGACGAGUGUACCGAAAAUCAAGCCAUAUGUGGUAACAACUCCGUUUGUACAAACACGGUGGGCAACUACACGUGCGUGUGUGCGGAGGGAUACAGGCAGAGGGAUAGUGAAGAGGUGGGAUGCAAUCUGGGUAAGCAAGUAUCAGGUACCAACGGACUAAAGGGGGCAGAUCCAGGCGGUUAUCCGUAGAUUUGUCCAUAUC